rnacentral:rRNA from 1 species
GGGGAAUAUUGGACAAUGGGGGAAACCCUGAUCCAGCAAUGCCGCGUGAGUGAUGAAGGCCUUCGGGUUGUAAAGCUCUUUUCAUAGGGAAGAUAAUGACGGUACCUGUUGAAUAAGAACCGGCUAACUCUGUGCCAGCAGCCGCGGUAAUACAGAGGGUUCUAGCGUUGUUCGGAAUUACUGGGCGUAAAGGGCGCGUAGGCGGUUUAUUAAGUCAGACGUGAAAGCCCCGGGCUUAACCUGGGAACUGCGUUUGAUACUGGUAGACUAGAAGACGGAGGAGGAGAGUAGAAUUCCUGGUGUAGCAGUGAAAUGCGUAGAUAUCAGGAGGAAUACCAAAGGCGAAGGCAUCUCUCUGGUCCGAUCUUGACGCUGAGGCGCGAAAGCGUGGGGAGCAAAC